rnacentral:rRNA from 1 species
UACGGGGGGGGCAAGCGUUGUUCGGAAUUACUGGGCGUAAAGGGCGCGUAGGCGGUCCGCUAAGUUGGAUGUGAAAACUCUGGGCUUAACCCAGAGCCUGCAUUCAAAACUGACGGGCUAGAGUGCGGCAGAGGGGGAUGGAAUUCCGCGUGUAGCAGUGAAAUGCGUAGAUAUGCGGAGGAACACCGAUGGCGAAGGCAAUCCCCUGGGCCUGCACUGACGCUCAUGCACGAAAGCGUGGGGAGCAAACAGG